rnacentral:rRNA from 1 species
GUGAACGCUGGCGGUAGGCCUAACACAUGCAAGUCGAACGGCAGCACAGUAAGCGCUUGCUCUUACGGGUGGCGAGUGGCGGACGGGUGAGGAAUACAUCGGAAUCUACUUUUUCGUGGGGGAUAACGUAGGGAAACUUACGCUAAUACCGCAUACGACCUACGGGUGAAAGCAGGGGAUCUUCGGACCUUGCGCGAUUGAAUGAGCCGAUGUCGGAUUAGCUAGUUGGCGGGGUAAAGGCCCACCAAGGCGACGAUCCGUAGCAGGUCUGAGAGGAUGAUCAGCCACACUGGAACUGAGACACGGUCCAGACUCCUACGGGAGGCAGCAGUGGGGAAUAUUGGACAAUGGGCGCAAGCCUGAUCCAGCCAUACCGCGUGGGUGAAGAAGGCCUUCGGGUUGUAAAGCCCUUUUGUUGGGAAAGAAAAGCAGCAGGUUAAUACCCCGCUGUUCUGACGGUACCCAAAGAAUAAGCACCGGCUAACUUCGUG